CGGAAGGUGCACUUGGAUUAAUCAGGGCUUAGCUAAACAGCCAUAGCGUCUCUUUUA
rnacentral:tRNA from 1 species